GCCGCGUGAGUGAUGAAGGCCUUAGGGUUGUAAAGCUCUUUUACCAGGGAUGAUAAUGACAGUACCUGGAGAAUAAGCUCCGGCUAACUCCGUGCCAGCAGCCGCGGUAAUAAUCACUAGUGAAUUC
rnacentral:rRNA from 1 species